AUUCUUUUGUAGUUCAUAAGUGUGAUGAUUGCAUUUUCACCUGCAUGCAUGAGAUAUGCCUCCUUUAAACCUUGUUACAUGUCAGCAAGUUACCUGUCUGAUG